UUUGAUUUAGUCACUUUUAAAAUGUUUUGCUCUUUGUGUUUUCCUUUGUUCUUGGAGUCUAACCAUACUUACUACAGAACACAAACACAAUGUUAAUUUAGAAACGAAGUGUUACGGGAUUCUUUAUGUAGUAACAAGUCGUGAAGAUUUGCGUGACGGUCAGAAUCUGUACCUGGAAGUGGCUGGUAAUUCUGCCCAAGUGCUGCGUGUUUGUCUUGCUCACUACAGGAGAGUAAAAAUCAGGGAAUCGAGCCAGAGUUUGGCUUUUGCUCUGCAAGAAUGACUUUGUUUCAGAACGCACUAGUUGAAGAAUGUGAAGCUUUCCAUACCAACUCUGCAGUGCUCUCUAUCCUUUUUCUCCUUUAGUUCGUCCAGAAUUUACGGAUACUUUAGCGAUCAAGCAGGGAUGGCUUCCCAUUCUUGAAAAGAUAGCUGUGGAAAAAACUGUGCCUAACAAUACAUACCUGCCAGAGGGUAACAACUUUGUCAUUAUUACAGGGCCAAAUAUGAGUGGAAAAUCAACGCACCUAAACCAGAUUGCUCUUUGUCAAAUUAUGGCACAGAUUGGUGAGUAAUAACGUACCAUGUUAGUAAUCUUCUGCGGACAGUUGCUUUCUAAUUAAAAGUACUUAUGAAGUUGAAUGGUUUGGCUUUGAGAGUAAGAUUCUGUCUAAGUAGCACCAGGUGUUUUUUAGUCUGUUUGCUCCUACCAACUCUUGCGUUGCUGACAGAAGCCACUGCGAGGUUUUGGGUCUGCCGUUGGCCCUGUUUCUGUAGCUGGAAGCCUCCGCAGUCUGUCUUUAGGAGAGGGAUGGAAACGCAUGAAAUAUUUUCCUAGAUAACAUACACCAUACAAAACGCUAAUGACAAAUCACUCGUCAUAAGUGAGGAACUUGGCAGAGGUACCAGCGCUGAAGAGGGAAUUGGCACUUGUUACGCUGCCUGUGAAUAUCUGCUGAAUUUAAAGGCAUUUACAUUAUUUGCUACAUGCUUCCUGGAACUGUGUCAUAUAGCUGCCUUAUAUCCCAGUGUGGAAAACCACCAUUUUGAAGUGCAACAUGUGAGAAGCAGUGCUGGAAAUAAGGAGAAAAUGCUUACACUCACGCACUCUCUAAAGGCUGUACAGAGGAAAAGAACUAUGAAUAAAUCAUGCUGAAGACUGUACAGACUGACCGAUUACGAGUCAAUAAAGAAAUGAGUGAGUGACAGGAAGGCAUAGCUCCAUUUUUGAGGAGCUACAGAGGUACGUACCUUUCCAAAUACUAGAUUCUGAAGUUUGGUUUAGGUGACAUUUAAUCAAUAGGAAAUGAGCUACACAUGACUUUUGCAAACUAGUGGUGACUGAGGACUAGGAAUUAUUCCGGUCAGGCUUCAAUUAACUGGCCUUAAGAUGUUUAUCAGAAUUUCAGAAUAAGUUUCCUUACCUUUGGCUGCACAAGCUCGAUUUCAGAUGCUAUGACACCCCUUACUUGAGCAAAGUUACAUUCAAAGAAAGAGGGUGGGGGCUCUUCUUGACCCUUUUUCAUUUUUAACCCUACAAUCAGGUUAAGGGUUAAGCACAGCUUCCUCAGAGCAGCCAGGGCCACAGGCAGAGGGGCAAAAACUGUGUUAGGGCAGGAAAAAACAUGUACAUCCCUUACCCCGAGUAUGCAGAGUUUGGCUGCUGGCAAGAGAGUAGCAUAACAUCUGUAUCCACUGGAUAUGUGGGUGUAACGGAGAGUGCAUUUAGCACAACCACGGCAUCUGCUGGCCUGCCCGAUUAGAAGAAAUAAACAGAGAAGCUGCUAGCACCAGCACCAGCCGUUUCCCAGCUCUGACCCCUCCUGCUCCUCAGCCGGCACGGUUACAGCGUUACCAGCACUAACUUCAUGUGGAAGCGUAUCUCAGAGGAGACAUUUCAUUUGUAACUCUUGAAACCGUACUGCUUGUUUAAAAAACUAAGAGAGACAUGAAGAGAAAAUAUAUAUAUAAAUUAUUUUAAUAAAAAUUAAAAUUUCUCCCUUUAGAAAAUAGGCCAAGUUAAUUCUGGCAGACAUAGCGUGGAAGGUAGGGAAAAAUGACAUCCAACCCCCUGACUUGUGUUUUUAUGUAUUUAGGAUUAAAAGCUGCAGAAGUUUCCUCCCUACCAUCAUCUGUAAUUGUGGAUGCAAAGGAAAUCACAAAUCACAUUGCAAACCAAAUUUUGGUCCAGAGUAGAGAAUUGUAAUAGUAUAAUUCACAGUUUUUCUAAAACUCAAAUACAUUUUCAGUUCCUGAAAGGAGACGGGAGAAGCACUGCCUCUGGUUUUAGCAAAGUAGAUUUCAGUAAAAUCUGUGUUUCUGAGCCAGUUAUAAAAUACUCUAUUGAAGGCUGCUGUUAGGUGGCAACCCAAAGCAGUCCUUAGGGUGAAGGAGUUUAGGGUGGAAUGUUGGUGUACAAAUCAAGAAUCGGGAGGUCAGAAGGAGGCUGGAAAAUAGCUAAUAUUAGUAUUUUAAUAACAGAAAGGAAUUGGUUUCCUAUUUUACUGCACGGGUGUGUUUUUGAGAACAGCACGGGCAGAAGAGCACUCCUGAGAUGAUGAGGCAGAGAGCUGUGUGCCAUCUAGCAAUGAGAUUGCUUCGGACUGCCGGAAAUUCUCGAGUGGAUCCGGACAGUUUGCGGAUAUAUUUGAAAGUCUUGAAGAAGUAUGAAGCCAGUUGUCCUGCACCCGGACAGGACAAUGAGCAACAGUAAUGUAUUGCACAGGCUCUAAUUUUUAUGACUGCAAGAUGAUCCUGGUUUUCCCCAGAAUAUUAUAAAAUACUGCUUUCCACAUGUUUUUAGUUCCUUAAUUCUUAGUCUGAAUUAUAUUCACUACUGAAAGACCAUAUCCGUCAUGGGGUUUUUCCACAAAACACACCUGAAAUAAAAGCAUUUACUCGAUAUGAGGAACACGGUUCUUUCUGAUAACAAACUAUAUCCCUUUCAUUAUUUUAUAGAGACAAAGAAGUUGUCUAACGUUUAAUAUUUUCUUCUGGUGGAUCUGCUGUUAUGGUUCUUACAUCCGAUAGUAAAGAUAUUGCCUAACGAAAAGCAGUCUUUGGAACAGAUGGGCCGCUUGCCUUGCACAGGCACGCUCUACUUGCAUUGUUGAACGUGCAUCCGUAAAUCCUGUCGCUGCCUAUUCCAGGAAGGUUCCAGCUCUCUCAGUCAUUACUCUUAAUCCAACAUCAAGUCCAGGAGCACUUCCUCUCCAGAACUGGGCAGUCACAGCUUUUUUGUAACAGCACAG